rnacentral:misc_RNA from 1 species
GAUGAAGAACGUAGCGAAAUGCGAUAAGUAAUGUGAAUUGCAGAAUUCAGUGAAUCAUCGAAUCUUUGAACGCACCUUGCGCUCCUUGGUAUUCUGAGGAGCAUGCCUGUUUGAGUGUCAUUAAAUUCUCAACUACACUGACUUUGAAUUGGUGUGGCUUGGAUUUGGGGGGAAAAUUGUUGUGGGCUUUUUGUAUAGUCUGCUCCCCUGAAAUUGAUUAGCGGUACCUUUGUGGAACUGUCUACAGGUGUGAUAAUUAUCUACAUCUUAGACAUCUGCUGGAAUGCUGCUUUCUAAACCUUACUUGUAUUGACAAUCUUGACCUCAAAUCAGGUAGGACUACCCGCUGAACUUAAGCAUAUCAAUAAGCGGAGGA